UUCCAGACUCCUACGGGAGGCAGCAGUGGGGAAUAUUGCACAAUGGGGGAAACCCUGAUGCAGCGACGCCGCGUGAGUGAAGAAGUCAUCCGUGAUGUAAAGCUCUAUCAGCAGGGAAGAAAAUGACGGUACCUGACCAAGAAGCCCCGGCUAACUACGUGCCAGCAGCCGCGGUAAUACGUAGGGGGCAAGCGUUAUCCGGAUUUACUGGGUGUAAAGGGAGCGUAGACGGUUGCGCAAGUCUGGAGUGAAAGGCGGGGGCCCAACCCCCGGACUGCUCUGGAAACUGUGUAACUGGAGUGCAGGAGAGGUAAGUGGAAUUCCUAGUGUAGCGGUGAAAUGCGUAGAUAUUAGGAGGAACACCAGUGGCGAAGGCGGCUUACUGGACUGUAACUGACGUUGAGGCUCGAAAGCGUGGGGAGCAAACAGGAUUAGAUACCCGGGUAA
rnacentral:rRNA from 1 species